AGAGAGAGAGAGAGAGAGAAAUAUGUAUGUAUUGUUGCGUAGAAGGCAAUUGGGUCCACAAUCUUAACCAAAAUUUCUAUUCCUAUGUGUUUGUCUGGUUCAAAGAUAGCGAGGCUUUGUUCUUCUGUGUUUGUUUGGGUUGAAUUUUACACCUUCAAUUCUCGCCGUUCUCUAAAAUCUCCACUCUCCUACUCGGAGCCGUAGAGAAGUGUAUUUCUGUACUCU
rnacentral:misc_RNA from 1 species